CCCUUAGAUGUUCUGGGCUGCACGCGCGCUACACUGAUGCACUCAACGAGUUUACGACCUUGCCCGAUAGGGUUGGGUAAUCUUUUUAAAAUGCAUCGUGAUGGGGAUAGAUUAUUGCAAUUAUUAAUCUUCAACGAGGAAUUCCUAGUAAGCGCGAGUCAUCAGCUCGUGCUGAUUACGUCCCUGCCCUUUGUACACACCGCCCGUCGCUCCUACCGAUUGAGUGCUCAGGUGAAUAAUUCGGACUGCAGCAAUGUUUGGAUCCCGAACGUUGCAGCUGAAAGUUUAGUGAACCUUAUCACUUAGAGGAAGGAGAAGUCGUAACA
rnacentral:rRNA from 1 species